CGUAGGUGGCGAGCGUUGUCCGGAUUUAUUGGGUUUAAAGGGUGCGUAGGCGGCCCUGUAAGUCAGUGGUGAAAUAUCUCAGCUUAACUGAGAGGGUGCCAUUGAUACUGCGGGGCUUGAGUACAGAUGAGGUAGGCGGAAUUGACGGUGUAGCGGUGAAAUGCAUAGAUAUCGUCAAGAACUCCGAUAGCGAAGGCAGCUUACUAAGCUGUAACUGGCGCUGAGGCACGAAAGUGUGGGGAUCAAACAGGAUUAGGUACCCUGGUAGUCCACACUGUAAACGUUGAUGACUCGAUGUUGGCGAUACACAGCCAGCGUCCAAGAGCAAUCGUUAAGUCAUCCACCUGGGGAGUACGCCGGCAACGGUG
rnacentral:rRNA from 1 species